GACGAACGCUGGCGGCGCGCCUAACACAUGCAAGUCGAACGAGCGAGAGAGAGCUUGCUUUCUCAAGCGAGUGGCGAACGGGUGAGUAACGCGUGAGGAACCUGCCUCAAAGAGGGGGACAACAGUUGGAAACGACUGCUAAUACCGCAUAAGCCCACGACCCGGCAUCGGGUAGAGGGAAAAGGAGCAAUCCGCUUUGAGAUGGCCUCGCGUCCGAUUAGCUAGUUGGUGAGGUAACGGCCCACCAAGGCGACGAUCGGUAGCCGGACUGAGAGGUUGAACGGCCACAUUGGGACUGAGACACGGCCCAGACUCCUACGGGAGGCAGCAGUGGGGAAUAUUGCACAAUGGGGGAAACCCUGAUGCAGCGACGCCGCGUGGAGGAAGGAGGUCUUCGGAUUGUAAACUCCUGUUGUUGAGGAAGAUAAUGACGGUACUCAACAAGGAAGUGACGGCUAACUACGUG
rnacentral:rRNA from 1 species